rnacentral:rRNA from 1 species
GACGAACGCUGGCGGCGUGCCUAAUACAUGCAAGUAGAACGCACAGUUUAUACCGUAGCUUGCUACACCAUAGACUGUGAGUUGCGAACGGGUGAGUAACGCGUAGGUAACCUGCCUGGUAGCGGGGGAUAACUAUUGGAAACGAUAGCUAAUACCGCAUAAUAUUAAUUAUUGCAUGAUAAUUAAUUGAAAGGUGCAAUUGCACCACUACCAGAUGGACCUGCGUUGUAUUAGCUAGUAGGUGAGGUAACGGCUCACCUAGGCGACGAUACAUAGCCGACCGGAGAGGGUGAUCGGCCACACUGGGACUGAGACACGGCCCAGACUCCUACGGGAGGCAGCAGUAGGGAAUCUUAGGCAAGGGACGAAAGUCUGACCGAGCAACGCCGCGGGAGUGAAGAAGGUUUUCGGAUCGUAAAGCUCUGUUGUAAGAGAAGAACGGGUGUGAGAGUGGAAAGUUCACACUGUGACGGUAUCUUACCAGAAAGGGACGGCUAACUACGUG